rnacentral:tRNA from 1 species
GCUCCCUUAGCUCAGUUGGUCAGAGCCUUUGGGGUCGCCGGUUCAAGCCCGGCAGGGAGCA